GCAACCAUUAAGAAAUUGACCAACCGGAACAGAACGCGGAAACAAAUUGCCAUAGAAAAUGUGAAGUAGAAUAUUGAUCGGAAUUAUAAGACACUUUCCCUUCUCACAUCAGCUUUUUCUAAAGGUCAAAGAGGGGGUCAGUCGGGUUCUAAUGAUCGAGUGUUUGUUUAGGUUUCAAGAGGAAGGGUCACACCACCACCAGGGCCAUAAAACUACACCUGGAAAUGCCCACAACUCCUAAGAAAGUCUUGGCAAAUUUUUGUUCUUGGGGGGCGGAAUGUUUUAUAAUACGACCAAUUAUGUUGAAUCAGAAACCAAAACAGGAAAAAAAGAAAACUAAUAAUGAAACUACAAAACAAGACGGAAUCGGGUUCUAAUGAGUGUUUCUUUGGGUUCACGGUACAGAGGAAGGGUCACACCACCACCAGGGCCAUAAAACUACCCCUGGAAAUGCCCACAACUCCUAAGAAAGCCUUGGGAAAUUUGUGUUUUUGGGUUCAUGGUACAGAGGAAGGGUCACACCACCACCAGGGCCAUAAAACUACCCCUGGAAAUGCCCACAACUCCUAAGAAAGCCUUGGGAAAUUGUGUUUUUGGGUUCAUGGUACAGAGGAAGGGUCACACCACCACCAGGGCCGUAAAACUACCCCUGGAAAUGCCCACAACUCCUAAGAAAACCUUGGCAAAUUUGUGUUUUUGGGUUCAUGGUACAGAGCAAGGGCCACACCACCACCAGGGCCAUAAAACUACCCCUGGAAAUGCCCACAACUCCUAAGAAAGCCUUGGGAAAUUUGUGUUUUUGGGUUCAUGGUACAGAGGAAGGGUCACACUACCACCAGGGCCAUAAAACUACCCCUGGAAAUGCCCACAACUCCUAAGAAAGCCUUGGCAAAUUUGUGUUUUGGGGUUCACGGUACAGAGGAAGGGCCACACCACCACCAGGGCCAUAAAACUACCCCUGGAAAUGCCCACAACUCCUAAGAAAGCCUUGGCAAAUUGUGUUUUUGGGUUCAUGGUACAGAGGAAGGGUCAUACCACCAUCAGGGCCAUAAAACUACACCUGGAAAUGCCCACAACUCCUAAGAAAGCCUUGGCAAAUUUGUGUUUUGGGGUUCAUGGUACAAAGGAAGGGUGACACCACCACCAGGGCCAUAAAACUACUCCAGGAAAUGCCCACAACUCCUAAGAAAGCCUUGGCAAAUUUGUGUUUUUGGGUUCAUGGUACAGAGGAAGGGUCACACUACCACCAGGGCCAUAAAACUACCCCUGGAAAUGCCCACAGCUCCUAAGAAAACCUUGGGAAAUUUGUGUUUUUGGGUUCACGGUACAGAAGAAGGGUCACACUACCACCAGGGCCAUAAAACUACACCUGGAAAUGCCCACAACUCCAAAGAAAGCCUUGGCAAAUUUGUGUUUUUGGGUUCAUGGUACAGAGGAAGGGUCACACUACCACCAGGGCCAUAAAACUACCCUUUGAAAUACCUACAACUCCUAAGAAAGCCUUGGGAAAUUUGUGUUUUGGGGGGCGAAAUGUUUUAUAAUACGACCUAUUAUGUUCAAGCAGAAACCAAUACAGGAAAAAAGAAAACUAAUAAUGCAAAUACAAAACAAGAUAGGAAUAGGAAAGAUAAACAAUGAGCAAUAAAAGGAAAAUAAGGAAUAAAGGAGAAGGGGAGGAAGAGGAGGAAGAGGGGAGGAGGGAAACAGCUGAUUGGUUUGUUUUGCAAUGGCGUGAGGUGUGUGGCGACGCUUAACUUUCUUUCAUUAUUUUCUCAUUUUCACGAUGAUAAAGAAGGUUGUUGGUGCAUUGAUAGUGAUGAAAAUGAAGGUGAAGGUCUCAAGCAACAGUGGCAGUGAAGAAAAGUGGGAUGCAUAGCGUGAAAAUGAUGAAAAACGACGUAAAUAUGAAGAAGUGUGACGGCGAGGGGUGAGGUGACAGCCAUCAUUCUUUUGUUAUUUUCUCAUUUUCACGGUGAUGAAGGAGGUUGUGGGUGCAUUGAUAGUGAUGAAAAUGAAGGUGAAGGUCUCAAGCAACAGUAGCAGUGAAGGAAAGUGAGGUGCAUAGCGUGAAAAUUAUGGAAAACGACGUAAAUAUGGAGAAGUGUGAUGGCGAGGGGUGAGGUGACAGCCAUCAUUCUUUUGUUAUUUUCUCAUUUUCACGGUGAUGAAGGAGGUUGUGGGUGCAUUGAUAGUGAUGAAAAUGAAGGUGAAGGUCUCAAGCAACAGUAGCAGUGAAGGAAAGUGAGGUGCAUAGCGUGAAAAUGAUGAAAAACGACGUAAAUAUGAAGAAGGGUUGCAGCCAUCAUUAUUUUGUUAUUUUCUCAUUUUUACGAUAAAUAAGAAGGUUGUCUGUGCCUGUAGAUUGAUUUAAGUGAAGAUGAAGGUCUCAGGGUUCUAUAACAGUGAAGGAAAGUGAGGUGAAGUGCGUGGAUAUGAGGAAAAUGAGCGUAAACAUGAAAAAAAAUGCAGUGUGAUGGCGGCGGUGGUGGUGAUGCGCGAUAUUUUAUUUUGUUAUUUUCUCAUUUUCACGAUAAGUAAGAAGGUUGUUUGUGCCUUCAUCGUAAUAAAAGUGAAGAUGAAGGUCUCAGGGUUCUAUAACAGUGAAGGAAAGUGAAGUGAGUAGCGUGAAAAUGAAGAAAACAAGCGUAAAUAUGGAAGAGAGUAUCGUGUGAUGGCGGAGGUGGUGGUUGUGCACGAUGUUUUCUUUUGUUAUUUUCUCGUUUUCACGGUGAUAAAGGAGGUUAAAUGAGCUUUGACAGUGACUGAAGUAAAGGUGAAGGUCUCAAGUAUCUAUAGCAGUGAAGGAAAGUGAAGUGAGUUACGUGAAAAUUAAGAAAACAAGCGAAAAUAUGAAAAAAAUAUUGGUGAUGGCGGCGGUUGUGGUGGUGGUGGUAUACACGUCCAGUUUUCAUAUUUUCUUAUUUUCGCGUUCAAUAAGGAGGUUGUCUGUGCCUUGAUAGUGACGAAAGUGAAGGUAAAGGUCUCAGGGUACGGGAACAGUGCAGGAAAGUGAGGUGCAUAGUGUGAAGGUGAAGAAAAAUAGAUAAAGAUGAGGGAAAAAGUCGAAUGGCGGUUGGUGAUAAUGAUAGCAGAGCGUCGUUUUCUUGUUAUUUUCUCAUUUUCACGUUCAAUAAUGAGGUUCUGUGAGGUUUGAAAGUGAGUGAUGUAAAGGUGAAGGUCUCAAGGUACGGGAACAGUGCAGGAAAGUGAGGUGCAUAGUGUGAAGGUGAAGAAAAAUAGAUAAAGAUGAAGAAAAAUCGGAUGGCGGUUGGUCCUGGUGAUAGUAACGCGUUGUUUUCUUACUAUUUUCUCAUUUUCACGUUCAAUAAUGAGGUUUUGUGAGGUUUGAAAGUGAGUGAAGUGAAGGUGAAGGUCUCAAGGUACGGGAACAGUGCAUGAAAGUGAGGUGCAUAGUGUGAAGGUGAAGAAAAAUAGAUAAAAAUGAAGGAAAAAGUCGAAUGGCGGUUGGUGAUAAUGACAGCAGUGCGUCGUUUUCUUGUUAUUUCUCAUUUUCACGUUCAAUAAUGAGGUUUUGUGAGGUUCGAAAGUGAGUGAAGUGAAGGUGAAGGUCUCAAGCAACAACAGUAGUGCAGGAAAGUGAGGUGCAUAGCGUGAAGGUGAAGAAAAAGGAACAUGAAGACCAGUGUUCAUAUCUCGUCAGCUGAUCGGGGUGAGUACAAAUUCCAAUGUUUUGUUGAAUUUGAAUUUUUUAGUCUUUUUUUCCUUUUCUUUGUGUGUGUGUGUAUGUGUGUGUGUGUGUUGGGGGGCUGCCACGCUUGGAAUAUUAUAGUUAUUAGUUAUAUCCUGUGAAAAAAAAAUCGUGUAUGCUAAAUUCUUUCCUGUGAAAAUCAUAAAAAAGUCCUAGUUCUAUUCCAAAUUCUUCCCUUUUUCAACCUCAUAUAUUAGGAAAAAAAAAAUACAUUCGUCUAUGCUAAAUUCUUUCCUGUAAAAAUCGUACAAAACUUCUUUCUUCUUUUAUAAUUUUUUGCCUUUUUCGCAUAUAUUAGAAAAAAAUAUUCGUCUAUGCUUAAUUCUUUGCUGUGAGAAUCAUACAAAAAAUCUCUUCUAUUCUAAUUUUUUGCCUUUUUCAACCUCAUAUGUUAGAUAAAAAAAAACAUUCGUCUAUACUAAAUUCUUUCCUUUGAGAAUCAUACAAAAAAUCACUUCUAUUCUAAUUUUUUGCCUUUUUCAACCUCAUAUGUUAGAGGAAAAAUCAUUCGUCUAUGCUAAAUUCUUUCCUGUGAAAAUCAUACAAAAAUCAUUCUUCUUUAUUAAUUUUUUCCCGUUUUCACCAUCAUAAUUGUCAGAGAAAAAAAUCAUUUGUCUAUGCUAAAUUCUUUCCUGUGAAAAUAAUACAAAAAGUCUUUCUACCAUUCUAAAUUAUUGCCAUUUUCAAUCUCAUAGAUUAGAAGAAGAAAAAACAUUCGUCUACGCAAAAUUCUUUCAUUUGAAUCCUUUUAAACAAACAUUCCUCUGUUCUAAACUAUUUCCUUUUAACAUUAUAGAGCAAAAAAAAAAAAAAAAAACAUUCGUCUAUUCAAUUUUUACCUUUUGAACCACAUUAAACAAACAUUCGUGUCGUAAAUCCCUUUUCGAUAAACUUCUGAAUAAAAUAUCUUCAUCUAUGCUAUUUUAUUUAUUUAUUUAUUUAUUUAUUAGCUUUUGAACCACAUUAAAUAAACAUUCGUCUGUCUUAAAUCCCUUUUCGAUAAACUUCUGAUUAAAAUAUCUUCAUCUAUGCUUU